AGUCGCUUCCGCUCCAGGGAAGUGCGGCUGUGGUAGGGUCUCCUUUGAGGGAGUUGAGCCCGCAUUGGCGGCGAUGCCUUUUCUCUUGGCCGGGGGUCAGCUGCGACAAACACGUCUUCGCCCUUCUGGAAGAGGAAUCUGUAGGCAGUAGCGGAAGAUUUUCUGGAUUAAGCCAUUAUUUCAUCUCCUGUCCUCCCUGAAUCACAUCCUCCAUAAGACAACUUAAAAGUUUUUAUGUCUAGAGCAGGGAGAAGAUCAGUGAUGUGAUACUAGAAGCUUAAAGAAGAAAAAUACUUCAAGAUUUUAUAAAAGUUUCCAACGUUUGUCUCUGUCAGUAUAGCUCCUUCCAUUUGCCUUAUGACUCACGUUUCAUAAUCAGCAAUUAAAGCCAAGGAAAUGUGGAAAACA